rnacentral:rRNA from 1 species
AACGAACGCUGGCGGCAUGCCUAACACAUGCAAGUCGAACGAGACCUUCGGGUCUAGUGGCGCACGGGUGCGUAACGCGUGGGAACCUGCCCUUAGGUUCGGAAUAACUCCCCGAAAGGGGUGCUAAUACCGGAUAAUGUCUUCGGACCAAAGAUUUAUCGCCUUUGGAUGGGCCCGCGUUGGAUUAGCUAGUUGGUAGGGUAAAAGCCUACCAAGGCGACGAUGCAUAGCUGGUCGGAGAGGAUGAUCAGCCACAAUGGGACUGAGACACGGCCCAGACUCCUACGGGAGGCAGCAGUAGGGAAUAUUGGACGAUGGGCGAAAGCCUGAUCCAGCAAUGCCGCGUGAGUGAUGAAGGCCUUAGGGUUGUAAAGCUCUUUUACCCGGGAUGAUAAUGACAGUACCGGGAGAAUAAGCUCCGGCUAACUACGUG